AUUGAACGCUGGCGGCAGGCCUAACACAUGCAAGUCGAACGAGUGGCGGACGGGUGCGUAAUGUCUGGGAAACUGCCCGCUGGAGGGGGAUAACUACUGGAAACGGUAGCUAAUACCGCAUACCAUCGGAUGUUCCCAGCGGGGAUUAGCUGGUAGGUGGGGUAACGGCUCACCAAGGCGACGAUCCCUAGCUGGUCUGAGAGGAUGACCAGCAACACUGGAACUGAGACACGGGCCAGACUCCUACGUGAGGCAGCAGUGGGGAAUAUUGCACAAUGGGCGCAAGCCUGAUGAAGCCAUGCCGCGUGUAUGAAGAAGGCCUUCGGGUUGUAAAGUACUUUCAGCGAGGAGGCGUUACUCGCAGAAGAAGCACCGGCUAACUCCGUGCCAGCAGCCGCGGUAAUAC
rnacentral:rRNA from 1 species